AUUGCUAAUGUCAUCGAAAAUCAAUCCAAUCAGUUGAUGGCAUGAUGUGUCACUCACCCUGUCUACUGAUUGGAUUGCUUUAUUUCGAGAAGUGAGAAGGCCUU
rnacentral:pre_miRNA from 1 species